rnacentral:misc_RNA from 1 species
GCGAAAUGCGAUAAGUAGUGUGAAUUGCAGAAUUCAGUGAAUCAUCGAAUCUUUGAACGCACAUUGCGCCCCUUGGUAUUCCAUGGGGCAUGCCUGUUCGAGCGUCAUUUGUACCCUCAAGCUCUGCUUGGUGUUGGGUGUUUGUCCCCGUCUCCGCGCGUGGACUCGCCCCAAAGUGAUUGGCAGCCGGCGUACUGGUCCCGGAGCGCAGCACAUGUCGCGCAAACGAGUGCCUUGGUACGGCGGCGUCCAUAAGCCCCUCUCUCACGCUCUUGACCUCGGAUCAGGUAGGGAUACCCGCUGAACUUAA